GGUGCUGUAGCCCUGUGGUAGAGUGCUUGCCUAGCAUGCAUGAGGCACUGUGUUCAAUCCUCAGCACCA
rnacentral:tRNA from 1 species